GGGUCAGAUAGAAGAAAAGCAGAAACAAGCCGAGAAAGGCAAGCGAAGCCCACCCGCGCCCAGCCCGCGAUAGGCACGGGACUGUGAGCAGCCAAUCAGCGGGCGGGAAGGAACGUGACGUCACGGCUCGGCUCAGUCCGUGGGCCGGAGUACACGAAGUUCCGCGUCUUUCAUUCGAGGUCUGGCAAUAGCCCCGGUCUCACUCCUGAUUUUGGUGUUUGUCACCAAGAAAGAGAACCAGAGCACCACUCUGAUAUAUUUGAUGCUGGAGAACAAACUUGGGACUGCCUGCUUGAGAACCCAACACUUUAUUCCCUGAGCUGCCUUUUCCUGGGGCACCAAGUCUCUGGUUCAGUGUUUCGACUUCUGUUUUAGUGGACAUACAGGGAGAAAGGAUUUCAACCUGGGUCUGUGGGGAUGAAAUUCCUGGCUCCCCGUGAUGUGAUCUCCUGUGAAGGUGUUGGGAUGCUACAUUUCAGUCUCAGGAGGGAGGCAGUAUGGACUUCCCUGGGUGAAGGUGGCCAUCUUUCCCCUGCGAUUUGGCUGCAAUAAUAAGGUGAGUUUUCUGUCUUGCUA